UUUACUUAAUAGUAUUAACUAUAGAUUUGUAUUAAGAUUGAGAUUAAGAAUUAUGUUAUAUUUUUAAUUCUAUUAUUAGAAUUAUUUUAUUAGUUUCAAAAAUUGAAACUAAUAUUUAUAAAUAAUAUGUUAUUUGUAGAUUGUAUUACUGGUGAAGAUUGUGGUGAGAGAGAAAUUUAAGGAAUAAUUUAUUGAAAAAGCCACAAGGAGAAGAGCCACGAGUGACACGUGGAGGAGUCCCAGAGGCUUAGUGGUAUAGAUCCACUGUCUCUUUUGGGUAUUUAAUUUAUGAUUUAUAAUGUGUUAUAUUGCCAAUAUUAGGGCUUUUUGUUUAUUGUCAAUUAUAUGAAUAUAUAAAUGUAAUCAUGCCUUUCAAACUAUUUCUAUUUUUAGUACAAUUUGGAUGACUGUAAUUUUAA